UGUUGCCUCUUUGCAAAGCGGGUUUCUUUGCAGUCUAAUUUCAUGAUGGUGGAAAGAGUGACGAGGCGUCUGCAAUAACACCAUUAUCCAGUCUGAAAUAACAGGAGCUGCUGUUACACCUGAGUGAAAAUGAAAAAGGCCUGGACAUCAAGCCGAACCCUCCUCCUGACCCAUGAUGCACUGGUGUUGAUCUGGUGGAUGUUGCGAGAGUGGAUAUCCAGGAGGAGGUGGCUGUGGUGACAGGCUGCUGCAUGAAGUCCAUGGGAAUCUAAUUAUAGUUGUAUUAUAUAUGAAGCCAUUUUUAAGUAUUGCAGAGAAAAUCCACAAAUUUUCACACUCUGACUGAAAUAUUGGGAGGCAGAUAACAAUUUAAUCACCAAUACUUUUAUAAAUAAUGUUGAUUUUAAUAUUUUUCACAUUUGUAAUAUGUGAGAAAUUAAUACUGUUGCUACAAAAUGAAGUAUUAUGCUGUUGCGAUGUUUCUAU